GUGUAAUCAAUUUAUAUUUUAUUUAGAAGGUCGACAGAAAAAUAUACUAUACCAAGUUGCAAGGUAUUGUGCAAAAUAAAUUCUACAGUUGUAUGUUUUUUUGUAAAUGGCAUUCAGUCGUGCAUGGUACCACUUCAAACGCAAUUUUAUAUCUGUAACAUUUCCUAUUCUCUCAAUUUCUUCAAUCUACGCUGAUUACAAUCGGACAUUAAAUUGGAAAAAAAUACAAAAUCAAAAAGUUUAAAAAAUAGCUUACAAUGGCAGCCAAGCAUGCAUUAUUUGGAUUAACCUGGGAAUAUUUCGUAUUGGCUAUCCCACUUACAACUGGUGCCUUAUUUGGAAAAUUCUUAGAUGACAAAGAAACAGAAAGGAUGACACUAUUUAGAGAUAGAAGUGCUUUAUAUGGAGGAAUGGUGAAGAAAGGUGAAAAACCUUCUUGGCCAUAAAUGUAUUAAACUUAAGAUGGUACUAAUAGUUUGAAUUAACUUUAAUGUUGUUUUAAAUGUAAUAAUAAAUUAAACCAUGUAAACAAUUCUUUUUUUUUUUAGAUAUUAUAGCUAUAUAAAAUAAACCGUGAACUAAAUACACAGUAUAAUAGUUAUGAUAACAAAAUUCAUAACACACUUUUGUUAAUGUAUUUCCAAAAUGUGAUCAAGAACUUUGUUUAUUUCACUUAUUAAUAAAGAAAUAUAUGUACCUACCAACAAUU